rnacentral:rRNA from 1 species
UACGUAGGGUGCGAGCGUUAAUCGGAAUUACUGGGCGUAAAGCGUGCGUAGGCGGUUCGUUGUGUCUGUGGUGAAAGCCCCGGGCUUAACCUGGGAAUGGCCAUGGAAACUGGCGAGCUGGAGUGUGGCAGAGGGGGGUGGAAUUCCGCGUGUAGCAGUGAAAUGCGUAGAGAUGCGGAGGAACACCGAUGGCGAAGGCAGCCCCCUGGGCUAACACUGACGCUGAGGCACGAAGGCCAGGGGAGCAAACGGG